rnacentral:rRNA from 1 species
GUGGGAGACGUUGAUCUGGCUUCGCUAGGAGUUAGUUAGUCGUCCUUGAAAUACCACCCUUUAUUUGCUUGAAUUCUAAUCCGCCAAGGGCGGAGACAUUGCGUGGUGGGUAGUUUGACUGGGGUGGUCGCCUCCAAAAGAGUAUCGGAGGCUUCUAAAGGUUCCCUCAGCACGCUUGGUAACCGUGCGUAGAGUGCAAUGGCACAAGGGAGCUUGACUGUGAGACCGACAAGUCGAGCAGGUACGAAAGUAGAGCAUAGUGAUCCGGUGGUUCCGCAUGGAAGGGCCAUCGCUCAAAGGAUAAAAGGUACGCCGGGG